rnacentral:rRNA from 1 species
UACAGAGGUCUCGAGCGUUAGGCGGAAUCACUGGGCUUAAAGCGUGUGUAGGCGGGUCGGUAAGUACCUUGUGAAAUCCCACGGCUCAACCGUGGAACUGCUGGGUAUACUGCCGAUCUUGUGCAACCUAGGGGCGAGCGGAACAGAUGGUGGAGCGGUGAAAUGCGUAGAUAUCAUCUGGAACGCCAAUGGUGAAAACAGCUCGCUGGGGGUUUGCAGACGCUGAGACGACGAAAGCCAGGGGAA